AUUUAUUUACUAGAGAGAGAGAGAGAGAGAGAGAGAGAGAGAGAGAGAGAGAGAGAGGAGGAAAAGCGAGACUAUUUGGAAGAUAUUCCAAUCGAAGUACGAUUUGAAUAUCUUCUCUCUCUCUCUCUCUCUCUCUCCUCUAAUGAAACAGCCUAUGAUGUUGUAUCGCGCGAUAAUAUUGUUACGUUCUCUCUUUCUUCUCCAAUAAAACUGCCUAUAAUGUGUGCUUUGUGCGAUAGUGUUAUUUCUCUCACUCUUCUCUAAUAAAACAGCCUAUAAUGUAUGCAUCGCGCGAUCAUAUCUUUGAUCUCUCUCUCUCUCUCUCUCUCUCUCUCUCGCUCUCUCUCUCUCUUUUGUCU
rnacentral:miRNA from 1 species